ensembl:lncRNA
GCAUUACAGGUUUAGGUGCUAGGGCGCAUUACAGGUUUAGGUGCUAGGGCGCAUUACAGGUUUAGGUGCUAGGGCGCAUUACAGGUUUAGGUUUAGGUGCUAGGGCGCAUUACAGGUUUAGGUUUAGGUGCUAGGGCAAGUGUAAUCAUAACGUUUAGGUUAUUGAGGUUAAAAGGGUCAGCAUUUCAGUCCCAUCGCAAGGAUAGAAAAACUGUGUGGGUGUGUGUACUGCUGUGCUACAACACUAUUCUGAUUAUGCAGCUGAGACCAUGCUUUGUCAUAUUUUUGGGUUACAUAAGAACACUUGGGCUAACUGAAUUUUUGUAGAACCUAUCAAUUUUUCACCAUUCAACACAUGUUCAAGCCAUAGAUUCAAGAAGGACAUCUUCCAAGGAAGACCGGAAUGGAGACUCCGUCAACCUUUUGCAGGUCAAUUUUAGAACAUUUUAGAAUCAAAUUUGUCUACUGUAUUUUAAUAACUAGUCUUUUGGAGCCCAAUUUUAAUAUGAAUGGCACAUAAUAUUCUGGGGCUUGUCAACCACAUUCUAACUAGGCCUACUAUUUUAUGAAUAAUCACUUCUGAUUCAUAGGCUACACCUCUUUCUAAUUUUACAUCCAGACAUGAUACUUUUUUAUUAGUUGUACUGUAUUACACAGACAAUGACCAAUUAAAC